AUUUUUUUUUAAGUUGAAAAACAUUUUUCUAUAAUAAUUUUUGUUGUGAAAAAUUCUUUGGGAAUAUUUCCGGUUGCCUUGACCAAGUAUUCAUGGUAUUGAAAUGCAAAUGUAUGUAUAUAUGUUACACAAAAAGAGAAUGUUUAAAUUAGUUGAUAUUAAUUUUUCAAGAAAAUGUUUCAAAAAUUAAAUAGUUUUUCUCCCCCUUUUCCCCAAAUUCGUGCAAUUAGAAAAGCAAGUUGAAUUUCCGUUAGGUUUUUUUUCAUAUUGUUCAAUAUAUAUGUUGUUUUUUCACAUUAUAUAAAUUAUAAAAGUCAUGUUUCGUUUUAGUCAAAGUCCUGUUAGCUAUAGAGUGCCGCACGGAUUUAGCUUAUUAAAAGAAAACUGAAAAAGGCUUAAUGGUUCCAGACACUGGAGAUGUUUUCCUUGUACACCUAGAAAUAGAAAAUGUAAAAAAUUGCAUCGUAAUUCAAUAUUUCGGCAUAAAAAGAACUGGUUUUAAACAGUCAUCCCACAUUGAAUUUAUUUUGCAAAAACUUAAAAGUCUCGGUAGAUCGUAAGUCCUUCUAUACCCUAAGAGAAAUGAUCAAAUAACUUACAAGUGGAUCUCAGCAUUUUGUCUGGAGGUGUUUCAAUAUUGCAGGAAUGAAAGGGCCUUACAUUAAUCCAUAACUAGGUCGAAUUAGUGAGCUCGACAUUAAAACAUUUCUGUUUGCAAUACCCCAAAGAUUUUACAAAGUUGGGGAUUUUAAGCCACUUUUUUUCAUUACCCAGCAAUCAGUAGGUUUUUCAGGUUUAAUAAUCUACAUUGAUUUUGAUUGAUUCCGGUAAAUUCGAAAGCUGUAAAAAUGUCCCUGAGUGAUUUGAUUCGAUGUAAGCAUCACAUCAUCAAAUACGUUUCGGUAAAGUCUGUAGAAUUUUCUGCUAGCCAAUAUUUGGCUUCUGUGUUGUAAUUUUCUAGAAAAGCAUGAAUCUGUAUAAAAUCAGUCUGCAGUCUCUUGUCCUUUUUUUACAUUUUCUUCUACCCAUCAAAGACUGCAUUCAGGAGUUUUUUUUCCUACAAAAACAACAUUUAAUUUAAACGAUUAAAAAGAUUCAAUAAUGUUCAGAACCGCUUGACUUUAUCCAUGGAACCGGAGCACAUCAUCAAAUACGUUCCGGUAAAGUCUGUAGAAUUUUCUGCUAGCCAAUAUUUGGCUAUUGUUUCGUCAUUUUCUGGAAAAGCAUGAAUCUGUAUAAAAUCAAUCUGGAGUCUGUUGUUCUUUUUCUACCCAUCAAAGAUUGCAUUCAGAACAUUAAAUUUGAUUGAUUUGAGAGAAGCAAUGAUUUUUAUAAUCGCGACUUCACUUUCCAAUUAUUAAUACAGCAACUUGACGCCAUUCUAUUCGUCCCAGCUUAGUAAACAGGCCAGUAAAAUCACAAAAAAUACAUCAACCCAUCAAAAUCCCAUUAAAUUGCAAUUUUUCUGGCAUCCAAUAAUCUGGAGAAGCAUUAAUCUAUUCAAUAUAAAAUCAAUCUGAAGGCUGUUGUCCGUUCAUUCAUUUAUUUUUCGUACGUCAUAUAGAAGCAGGACCUAACACAGAUCU
rnacentral:sRNA from 1 species